GCAGCCGCGCCCCCAGCCGUAUUUCCGCGGGCGCUGAGCACCGGAGAGAGCGUCUUGUGGCUGCGGCCUGCCCCUCAGCCUCCUCCGCGCGGUUACCCCUGUACCCGCCGCCAUCCGUCCUGGCGCUCCGGAUGAGUCAAUGAGGGGCAGGGCCCGAGGAGUGGUCUUCCCAAGAACCCCUGGUGGCCUCCCAAGGCCGGUGCUGUGUACCUCCUCCCCGACAAAAGGGGAAACUGAGGCCCCGAGGGGAGUGGGAAGAGCCGGCUGGACGUCAGGCCCAGCCGCUGGUGCAGUGGUCCGUCCCCUCCGCCGGGGUGGGCCCCUCGGGUUUCGCGUGUCCUCGGGAAAGAGACUGGCGGGUGAGCCGCGCCCUCGGCCUUCGCUGGGCUAAGCCGACCCCAUGCGGACGUCAAACCCCCCCAGGUCGGCACAACCUCUCUGCGGGGAGGCUUAGUGCCCCCUUGAGAAACGGCUUGGCAACGCUGUGCCCGGGGCCUUGCACGCGGGCUGAGGGGGGCUAGAGACCUCGCGACUUUUACUCCCCCGACCCCGAUCUCCGACUCCUGACUUUGGAAGCCCCCAAAGCUGCUUUUCGGUUGCCUACAAAGUGUCGGUCAUUGUGCCACGUCCUUGGAACCGUGAACUCAUUUUCUCCUCAAUAACCUUUAAAAAGUAGCUGUAAAACCUCCAUUUUACAGACCAGUUGGCUGAGGUUUAAAUGGAGGACGCUCCCAGGGCCCCAGAGGGGCGAAUUCCAGACUCCUUUGCCAGGACCUUGUACUAAGCCCCUUCCCUACGCUUUUCCCUGCCUAGGCCUCGUGGGCUGUGCGGCUAUCCUGGAGACAGAUGACAGCUCUCCCUUGGAUGGCUUUGCUGGUUCCGCACCAGCCAGCGCCCCUAUUUUUCCUGCAGCACCCUGAUCUGCACUCCCUGAGGGGCUCCCACUGUCCGCGGUGUGAGGAUGUCCCUGGGUAAGUGGUGCUGGUCAUGAGCACUUUGGGGGACCCUUCAAAUUCCCUUCUGGGGGACCCCAGCGGAGGGCAUGGUCAUGAAUUCCGAGAACUGUAUGGCAAAGCCGGGUGCAGAGGAGAGCCUGGCUAAGUUCUUUCAUUCUCCUGAGCUUGACUUUCUGUAAUGUAGGGAAACUGCGAAAGCUCUGUAAGUGGGGAGAUCUUGCACGUUUUUCUUGCUUUUGAACCCAUGAUGUCUGGCUACUUGUAGAUACUCAAUAUUUAUGGGAUGAAUGAACAAUUUAAGCCUUUUUUUUUUUUUUAAACCAAAUAUUGGUCUUCUGUGACUUUCUUGAUGGGGGCAGAUGAGAUCUUUGUACUGCAUUAAGUGGAUAGCGCUCAGGUCCUUUGGGCUUGGCGCUUUGGCAAUCUCCAGGCAGCUCACUUUGGCAUCUGUUCCUGGAUCCCCUUUGCUCUUUUCUGCGCCUGCAUUCGUAAGUGAUCACGGGCUGCCCGUGUCCUGGUCAUUGGUAGUGCAGGCAGAGGAAAUGCGGGAAAGGUUGCUGUGUUUGGACGGUCCACAUCUUCACCCUCCUGUCCCAGGAGCUUUCCUACACUCCUGCUUCUCAAAGCUGCACACACCUGGGGCCUCCAGGGGAUUGGGGGCUGCCGUGUGUGUUAUGUCAUGAUUAGAGCUUUCACUUCCUGCUCCCUGCUGUUGGGAACCAGGCUGUGUGUGUUGCUUAAAUUCCCCUUGAUGACCAGCAGAGUCACUGCCACUCAGCCAUGGCACACUGCUGUAAACCUGGUUUUGAUCUCCUUUCAAUCUUUUGCUGAUUAACUACACAUUGAUCAGUGUUGGCCACCCUCACCCUGCCAUAGACCAUCCGCUGUCUUCCUCUGUAGAGUUAACUAUUUUCUCUUUUAUGAGGAAAUAGUGUGUUUGCUUAGGAGUGUUUACUGUCUGGUAACUACUGUGCUAAGCCCUUUCCUGUUGCCUGCCAUCCCUCCUGCGAGCAGGGACAAGCUGGGUGCUCACUCAUGGCAUCUUAUCUGUUGCAGAUAGUCCACUGUGUGCAGAGGCAUGGGAGUUGUCAUGUCGAGAACAUGCUAGACCUCAGUGUCCUUGAGCUUGAAGAAAGACGACAGAACACUGGAGACCAAGUACUUGCAGCCUUCUGCUCUGUGGCCCCUCCUCACUCCAGGGAUGCCGCCUUGGGUCUGGAAAUUGUUAGAGGAAACCCCAAGAGGUGCAGGCACUGAGCCUCUCAGGACAAUGACCUGGGGUCCCAGCUCCCCUGGAGGGGCCUCCUCAUGAUUGUUUGGGGCUUGAUCACAGACCAAGAGUGACGAGUGAUGUCACCCUGUGACUCAUGGCCGGACCUUCUUGCCCCUAUUGUCUCAGCACAACAUUAUUUGACUUUUCCCUCAGCGUGGGUGGGCAGAGGAAAAGCCCUGUGGCUCUGGGGACUUGGGAUCCGGAGUUGAAGACCCUUCAGCUGGCUCUGCCCUGCCAGUGCCACAGAGUGCCAUGGCCCAGGAAGACAGGUUUUCUUCCAUCUAGGCCAGGCCAUCCAGUGGCCAUCCUCCGUGUCCUCCCGCCUCCUCCUGGUGUGACUUCUGAAAACCAAGAAUUUGUUCCUGUUGACUUUUUCUGUGCUAUGGACCAUUGUCCUCUCACCCACUCAAUAAAUCUUGAAACAUGC
rnacentral:sRNA from 1 species